UUUUGUGUUCAUAUUUUGAGAAAUUCAAAAUUGGGAUACCUACUCUAAACGUGCUCAAAUGUAUGAUUCUCAAACAUAACGUUAAUGUAGAUACAUACGUUACAACAUCAUCUCACUUUCACAUGGUUUAUAAAUAUGAAUUCGCCAUUGCCUGCUUGUCUUACAACACAAGUAAACUAUCAUAUCUCUCUUCUUUUUUU
rnacentral:lncRNA from 1 species